CAUUAAAGAACUCUUCAGCAAGUGGUUUUACCUGCUGCCACAGGACCAACCUGGGUCACUUCUCAAAGUAAGGCAGAGCAAAUGGAUACCUGGCAUAGGAGCAGUACCAGGCCUAUCUGACGAUUGGGUAUUUUUCAAGAAGGUUGACACUCCAACAGUACAAUAAACUUUAUUGAUUAAUCGUG